AAAUUUUAAUUAAAGCGAAACAUUUAACACUUUGUUUUAUAACUAGUUUUAAAUUUUAAUGAAUCAAUAAAAAAGUAUGAAAGAUUUAUGGAAUUGAUCAAGAUAGAGAACUGAGAAGUUAUAAAAUGGCAUCCUCAAACACGAUAUCAAAAACUAAAUAGUACCAUGUUGAUGUUCAACUUCUAAUAAUCAUGUGUUUGCAACUAAUAAUGUUAAAUGAAAAGUCAUAUUACAGGUACAGACGAGUUUUAAUGCAAUAUUUUGUUCUGUUGCAUUGUUGUAAGAGAACAUUAUUAGUGGGACUUAAAAGUCCUGUCAGUACAAAAAGGGUUAAUUAAUUAUGGCUUGACCAGUUAACUUAUGGACUUGGCCAAUUAGCUGACUUUCCUUUUUUGAAUAGUAUCCAUCUCCAAGUGUUGAUUAUUAAAUGAUAUAAAUGUUGUAAAAUAUUCAGUUAGGUUUUAGAUUAUGUGUAAUGAAUGUAGCAAUUGUCCACAGAAAAAUUACAUAUUAUACAUUUUAAACUCCUAAUAGACUUUUCUUGAUGUCAUAAACUAUUGCCCUUAACAUUGUAUAUUCCCAUAUCAGUUUUAAUUUUAAAGGUAUUGUUAUUUCUAGGUUUAUAGCACUCAUUCUACGGAAGACUAUGAUAGACGGAAUGAAGACGUUGAUCCGAUAUCUGCAUCUGCUGAAUAUGAGUUAGAGAAAAGAAUUGAAAAAAUGGAUGUUUUUCCUGUUGAUCUUAUUAAAGGUCCAGAAGGCUUAGGGUUAAGUAUUAUUGGAAUGGGUGUUGGAGCUGAUGCCGAAGUGGAAAAACUUGGUAUAUUUGUGAAAACAGUUACUCCAAAUGCUGAUAGAGAUGGAAGGUACUUCUUUCCAAAGAAAUGUUCUUACAAUAGUUUCUA